UCCGUUUGAUCCUGGCGGAGGCCACUGCUAUCGGAGUUCGAUUAAGCCAUGCGAGUCGAGAGGUGUAAGACCUCGGCAUACUGCUCAGUAACACGUGGACAACCUACCCUGAAGAGGGGGAUAACCCCGGGAAACUGGGGAUAAUACCCCAUAGACUAUGGAUGCUGGAAUGCUUUGUAGUUGAAAGGUCCGCCGCUUCAGGAUGGGUCUGCGGCCGAUUAGGUUGUUGUUGGGGUAACGGCCCAACAAGCCUGUAAUCGGUACGGGUUGUGGGAGCAAGAGCCCGGAGAUGGAUUCUGAGACACGAAUCCAGGCCCUACGGGGCGCAGCAGGCGCGAAAACUUUACAAUGCGAGAAAUCGUGAUAAGGGAACUCCGAGUGCCCGUAAAAUCGGGCUGUCCGCCAGUGUAAAUAACUGGUGAAGAAAGGGCCGGGCAAGACCGGUGCCAGCCGCCGCGGUAAUACCGGCGGCUCGAGUGGUGGCCACUAUUACUGGGCUUAAAGCGUUCGUAGCUGGUCUGUUAAGUCUCUGGGGAAAUCUUCCGGCUUAACCGGAAGGCGUCUCAGGGAUACUGGCAGACUAGGGACCGGAAGAGGUGAGAGGUACUCCAGGGGUAGGAGUGAAAUCCUGUAAUCCUUGGGGGACCACCUGUGGCGAAGGCGUCUCACCAGGACGGCUCCGACAGUGAGGAACGAAAGCUGGGGGAGCAAACCGGAUUAGAUACCCGGGUAGUCCCAGCUGUAAACGAUGCGCGUUAGGUGUAUCGGUGACCACGAGUCACCGAGGUGCCGAAGAGAAAUCGUGAAACGCGCCGCCUGGGAAGUACGGUCGCAAGGCUGAAACUUAAAGGAAUUGGCGGAGGAGCACCACAACGGGUGGAGCCUGCGGUUUAAUCGGACUCAACGCCGGGAAACUCACCGGACAAGACAGCUGAAUGAUAGUCGGGCUGAAGACUCUACUUGACUAGCUGAGAGGAGGUGCAUGGCCGUCGUCAGUUCGUACUGUGAAGCAUCCUGUUAAGUCAGGCAACGAGCGAGACCCA
rnacentral:rRNA from 1 species